rnacentral:rRNA from 1 species
UUAAAGUCAUGUGAUUUUCUAAACUCAUUGAAAUUUUUAUAAAUUAUGAUUGAAUUCAUAACUAUAAAGAGUUAUAGUCUCGUUAUUUAAAAUUUCAAGCAUGGGAAUUAGAAUUAAAGAGUCGGGUAGCUUGAGAAUGCUGCCUUAAUAUAGGUGGUACACCCCAUCUAAAGCUAAAUAUUGUAAAGAGACCGAUAGCAUACAAGUAGUGUGAACGAAAGAUGAAAAGAACUCCUAAACGGAGAAUUAAAAGCGCCUGAACUUGUCUAGGUUUUCGCAUUUCUUUAAUGCGCCCGUCUUGGAACACGGAUUAGGGAGUUUUACUUAAAUACGAGUCUUUAACUUUUAAAGUAAUUUUUUUAAAAAAGGCGAAAAGAAAUUAACUGGUUUUUUUAACAUGGCUAUAGAGUAUUUAAGUCAAAACCCGAAUGGAGGUGAACUAUUCCUGCAAAGAUUGAAGUCAGGGGAAACUCUGAUGGAAGAUCGUUGGCGUUAUUGAUGUGCAAAUCAUUUGCUUUAUGUAGGUAUAGGUGCGAAAGACUCAUCGAACCUCCUAAUAGCUGGUUUCCUCCGAAGUUUCCCUCAGGAUAGCUGUAACAUUUUUAAAUAGUUAAGGAUAGUAGAGAAAUGGGUAGAGGUGUAGUGGAACUACGGUUCUGCAACUUAUUUCCAAACUUCGAACGUUCUUGAUAUAAAAAAUUACCUAAUAGGAAUUUUUUAUUUAAAUAUAUGUUAUAAGUGGGCUCUGACCGGUAAGCGGUCAUGGCGAAAAGGGAUGAACCUAACGUAUAAAUAAGGUGCCUAAAUUUACUAACAAUGAAACCAUUAAAAGAGUCCAUGUAUUUAGACAGCGGGUCGGUGCCCCUAAAAGCAGGUAUCCGUUAAUGAGUGUGUUAAAACUCCCCCGCCGAAUACUCUGGCCUUGAAAAUGAAUGGCGCAUAUAGUAAUACCGAUAUUAUACAUUAAAAUUAUUUAAAAAUUUUAAAAGUAGGGGGAUGUGGAUAUCUUAGAGAAUUUUUAAUUGUAAAAUUGAAUUGAAAGAUAUCUAUUACAGAUCCUAAUUGAAGUAGCGAUUAUCCAGGUUAAUCUCCUGGGGGCUGAUGAGGAGUAGGGUUUCUGGGCAACUUAAACGGACCCAGAGUUAGUCGAUCCUAAUCAAAUUAAAUUUAGAGAAAGGGAAUAUGAAUGAUAUUUCAUAACUAAAAUUAAUUUUUAAAUGGUGACAUUUUUUUAAACUUAUUUCCAUCAAUUAAAUACUGUUUAAUAGGGAUUUCUUUCCUAUAUAACUUUUUAAUUAAAACUUAAGAAACAGGUUAACUGGAGAAUAAAGUUUUAAUUUAGUAAAAUUAUAAUUUCGAUUAUAAUAACGGCUAUUUAAAUGAUCCAUGAAACAAUAAGUUUAUUUUUUCAAAAAUUAAUUUAAUCGUACCGAUAACCGCAUCAGGUCUCCAAGGUGAGUAGCUUCUGGCCAUUGAGUAAUGGUAAUUUAGGGAAUUCGGCCAAUUAGAGCUGUAACUUCGGGAUAAAGCUUGGCUCUGAUGGAAAUCAGAACCGAUAGUUACAAGGAGAGCCCAACUGUUUAAUAAAAACUUAGUGUCGCGUCAUACCUUUAUAAGUAAUAAACGUGACAUGAAUCCUGCUCAGUGCUGUGUUUGUUAAACUGGAUUAAUCCAUUUAAGCGCCGGUAAAUAGCUGGGGUAACUAUGACUCUUAUCAAAGUAGCGAAAUACCUCGUCACUUAAUUAGUGACCUGCAUGAACGGAGCUAUGAGGUUCUCACUGUCCCAAAUUAUCACUCAGCGAACCAACAGUUGUGGGAACGGGCACAAAUUAUCCAGCGGGGAAAGAAGACCCUGUAGAGCUUCACUUUGGUCUAAUCUUGUAUAGUUUCGUUAGGGGUGCAGUCUAGGUGGGAGAUUUUUAAUCAAAUAUGAGAAACCACUACCCUUUCUGGAAUUAUACUUACUAAAAUUCUUUUAUAAAUUUUAGGAUCGGAUUAGAUAGAAAGUUUGGCUGGGGCGGCACACCUUCGAAAAAGCAGCGAAGGUGUCCUAAGUUAAGCUCAGUAAGGACAGAAAUCUUACGUUGAGGAUAAGGCCAAAAGCUUAAUUUACUGUGCCUUUUUGUACUAGGAUCAGUUUGGAAACAAAGGCCUAACGAUCCCUAAUUAGUCUUAGGUGUGUAAGACUUGGGGUGACAGACAAGUUACCUCCGGGACAACUGGCUUGUGGCUGCUAAGAGAUCAAAUCAACGCAGCUUUUUGAUUCUUCGAUGUCGGCUCUUCCUAUCCCA